GUUUCAAAAACAAACCAAUUGGAUCUGAAAACCAAGAAAAGGUUUCUGAAAAAUCUGGAUUUCCAAGAGGUUUUGAGGUCGAAAUUUGCUGCUGAAUCUGCUCUGCGUUGCCAUAUUUGUUGCUGAAAUCGCUGUUGCUGCUGUGUUAAGCUCGGUUCAUCUUCGUCUCUAUCUUUACUUGGCUCAUUGUGGACUAUUUUUGGCUAUUCAGCUGCUGAAAUUUAAUUGAAAGCUAAAUUUCAGGCUAUGUUUGUUCUUAUUAUGUGGGAAUAACCAAAGGGUCUUACAAAGAAAUUUGUUAUUCUUUUAGCUAUCUCAACAACGGAAAAACAGUUCUCAUCCGUAUCAAGUUUGACUGAUAUGAUUCUGAAAUAAAUGGAAUCUCUGUACUUGUAACUUCUGCAACUUAAUUCAUGAUUUGAAUAGAACCUGGUCCUUCGUAUACCAAGAUCGAAAGACUAGCAAGCAAGGAAGUAAAAUAUGUUUUUAGUAGUCUAGAGAUGACUAUCUUUGUAAUUAAAUAGAAGUGUCAAGCAAGCAGAUUGUUUCGUAUCUUGGUUCGUCCAGUGACCUUAGGAACUGAAUUUAAGGUUACUAUUAGUGCUUUGUUAUGCACCAACUUAAUUCAAAAUAAUCAGUUCCAUUUUAUACA